UGAUAUCUCAGUAGCUAUUCAAUCAGUACUUAUCAUGUUUUUUACUUUUUCCAGCUCAAUGUGUCCGUCAGGAGUCGGUGCCAGUUUUGGUCUAGGCCUGGAACUGGGCCUGCAAUUCAACAAUUGCGAUUGGUCCGUCUGCUCCGAGUGGUCCAGAAGAAGCGACAUGGGUUUACGCUUUGAUGAGCCAGUGAUUUCCUGAGUAGGCGGAACAGAGCUGUCAGAGAUCGCUGACAAUUUAACCUCAGUUUUAACUCUGCUUUGGCUAGCCUUUGAUGCUCGCUUUUGGUCCCCCUUGCACGAUAUAAAUGAUACGUUAAUAGCUUAGCUAUUCAAUCAGUA